GAAAAAGAACUUGUAAUUAUAAAUACAGAGUGAUCAAGACGGAAUGUGGCUGAGGAACAUUAUCGAAUGAUCUGUAUCUAGUCAUCAACGGUGAAAAUACAAUUCUAAAGAGGAAAAACAUACAAUAAACCAUAAAUACAACCUUCAGACUUUGUAGGAAGGAUUAGUUUGCUAAGGCUCCUUUGAUAACAAAUUCGCUUAUAGUUUUCUUGUUUUAGUUAAAAAGGAUAAACGACGGAGGAAGAAGGAAUUUGGGACGAAAAUGUGUGAAAUAAAAACUCGAAUUGUAGAUUAUCUGAAUAUGCUUUUUGUCCUUCGUUUUCGGUAUCAUUCCAUGCACGUUUAGUCCCUCAUCCAUCCCUUUCCCUUCCUCCUCCUCCUCCUCCUCUUCUAUCAUGCAUUUUCUCUAUCUAUCACUUAAAAUUAAAAACUAAAAAUCAAAUACGAAAUCGUUACCAAACACAACUUGAACAAAGCAAUGUCUUACGAAGUGACCAUGGCCGAAAGGACACAUACUUUUAACGAUCAGUUGCAUCUAUUUUCAACAAUUAAUCAAUGAAAUAACUCAAGUGUGCUAGUGUUUUGAUUUAAUUUGUAACAUCUGUACUAUUUUAUAGACAAAGAUAGAGUUACAAGGACACUUCUUGUCUCCUUCCCAACAUUUGUACUAUUUUAUAGACAAAGAUAUAGUUACAAAAACUACUUGUCUCCUUCCCCAAAUCAUUCUUCGGGAAGAGAUUGUCAAAGAUCAACACCAGCCCAUUAAGAUCAGUCGGUACAAAGGAACUAGAUUGGUCUAGUUCAAACAUGCAUGGUUUUCUCUAGAAGAUUCUAUAAUGGGAAUAUGCUAGAAAACUCUAGCAAAGAAGGUUGUUCCUUAAGUUGGUGGAAGAUUCUAGAAGAAUGGUGAGGUUUCCACCAACAUGCAAGAUUAGUGUAGAUAAUUCUAGCUUGGGAAGUUAGUAGAAUUAUCUAGAUAACUCUAGCAUGAUAUUUCCAUGCUUCUCCAAGGUUCCAUCCAUGCCUAUAAAAUGAGAAGGCAUCCACACCAUUUGUAUCAACCAAGUAACCAAGUAACCAACCAAGCAAUCAAGAAUGCAACCAAGUGAGAGUGAGAAGCAAGAAUAGUCUUGUAGGAGUGUGAGUGAUCUAGAGUUUGUCUCUAGAAAGUGAGUGAGUGUCAUUGCUUCUAAAGUUGUGUCUUUGAGUGUUUUGAGUGUUGUAAUAUUUUGUGUGUGUAGUACAAGUAAUUUGUUUACUUGUGUUGUCUCUCCAACACUUGUGUUAGACUUGUGUACUCUAAGUUCUUAUCAACAAUUGGUAUCAGAGCGGUACGAUCAGGGACCGUCUCUAGUGAAGUUUUUUUAGAAUCGUUAGAAGUUUACUACUUCACAAGAUUAUUCGUUAAGCUUGUUCGGUUUAUCGAAGUUCUGCCGACACGAUGGGAGAUCUUCAAGUUGUUGAAGGAAUCAAGAAGUUGAACAACAAAAAUUACAACACAUGGGCGACAUGUAUGGAGUCUUACCUACAAGGCCAAGAUCUUUGGGAUGCUGUCGGCGGUAAUGAAGUUAUGCAGCCGGAAGAAGACUCUAGUGGCAUUUUGAGGAAGUGGAAGAUCAAGGCAGGUAAGGCCAUGUUUGCCUUAAAAACCACAGUUGAAGAUGACAUGUUAGAGCACAUACGGAAGGCUAAGACACCAAAAGAAGCGUGGGACACCUUCGCCACACUCUUUUCAAAGAAGAAUGAUACAAGACUGCAACUUCUCGAGAAUGAGCUACUAUCGAUGGCCCAACGAGACAUGACGAUUGCUGAAUAUUUCCACAAGGUAAAGGCUAUUUGUCGUGAAAUUUCUGAGUUAGAUCCUAGUGCUGCCAUUGUACAAUCCAGGAUAAAAAGAAUAAUUAUCGAUGGAUUGAGACCCGAAUAUUGAGGCUUCGUUGCCGCUGUACAAGGAUGGCCGACCCAACCAUCACUUGUUGAGUUCGAGAAUUUGCUUGCCGAUCAAGAAGCUUUGGCAAAGCAAAUGGGAGGGGUCUCGUUAAAAGGUGAAGAGGAAGCGCUCUACACCAAAAGUAAAGGCAGUUUUAAGCAGCGUGCUCGUGGUGGAUCUAAAAUAAAUGGUGACAAGGCGAAAUGUCAUCAAGGAGGAGGGAGUUCUCGACCAGGGGGAGCUCCGAAGUAUCACGGCAACCAUGGUCAGUCCCAGAAUAAUAAAAGGUUUGAGGGCAAGUCUACAAUUGUGGAAAGAAGGGCCACAUGGCAAAGGAUUGCUGGUUCAAAAAACCCGCAGAAAGUAACGUCACCAACUCAGAGAAGAAAAGUGAAGAUGAUUGGGACGCCGUAGCAUAUCUAGCUAUGGAGGAAGAAUGGGACGCUGAAGCAUCUUCUUGGUGGUGCUCAGAAAAUGAGGUGUUCCCUGACUCAAGAGAGAUUGAGGAUACGUUGCAGGAGGAAAUGGGAGACCGAGCUGCCCAAACCCAAACGAGUCUAGAUGAGCUCGAGGAAUUGCUUGAUGGUGACGAUGUCAAGCAAGAAGUACCUAAGAGUCAUUGGCAAACUGAAGAAGUUAGACCUAGUGAAGUGGAAGUAUCAUUUCCACGAUCAUAACUAAGUAGGUCAACGGGAAUAACGAAGUCAAAUCCCAAAUGCGCCAACGCAACCAUAGUAGAAGAAGCAGUUGAAGCUAAGAUGCGUAUAGAAGCAUCACAAAAUUCUAAAUGGCGUAAAGCUAGAAGAAGAGGUCGCUGCGUUAAAGAAAUAUCAAACUCGGGAUCCAGUGGUAAGGCCAAGAGAUGUGAAACCCAUAUCAUGCAAAUAGGUGUUCAAGAUAAAGUGUCGACUGAGCGAGAAGAAAAGAAUGAGCUGGUGUUGAGGGGGAGUGUUAAAGAUCAACACCAGCCUAUUAAGAUCAGUCGGUACAAAGGAACUAGAUUGGUCUAGUUCAAACAUGCAUGGUUUUCUCUAGAAGAUUCUAUAAUGGGAAUAUGCUAGAAAACUCUAGCAAAGAAGGUUGUUCCUUAAGUUGGUGGAAGAUUCUAGAAGAAUUGUGAGGUUUCCACCAACAUGCAAGAUUAGUGUAGAUAAUUCUAGCUUGGGAAGUUAGUAGAAUUAUCUAGAUAACUCUAGCAUGAUAUUUCCAUGCUUCUCCAAGGUUCCAUCCAUGCCUAUAAAAUGAGAAGGCAUCCACACCAUUUGUAUCAACCAAGUAACCAAGUAACCAACCAAGCAAUCAAGAAUGCAACCAAGUGAGAGUGAGAAGCAAGAAUAGUCUUGUAGGAGUGUGAGUGAUCUAGAGUUUGUCUCUAGAAAGUGAGUGAGUGUCAUUGCUUCUAAAGUUGUGUCUUUGAGUGUUUUGAGUGUUGUAAUAUUUUGUGUGUGUAAUACAAGUAAUUUGUUUACUUGUGUUGUCUCUCCAACACUUGUGUUAGAGUUGUGUACUCUAAGUUCUUAUCAACAGAGAUUUGGUCCUUCCCAACAUUUGGACUAUUUUAUAGACAAAGAUACAGUUACAAACACUCCUUGUCCCCUUCCCCAAAUCAUUCUUCAGGAAGAGAUUCGAUCCGAAUCUCUCCAAUUAAGUGAUCUAGGCCGUUGAAAUUCAAUCAAACGACUACAAUUAUUAUAACUUUUAGAGAGGCUUCCUGUUUGUAGUCGUUAAAUCAAAUUUCAACGGUCCGAAUCACUUGAUCUUGGGCCUUUGAUGGGAGAGAUCCGGACCGAAUCUCUUUCCUUUUUUGUAUAGCUAUAUUUCACACGCACACAUGAAUAAACUACACAGUACGCUAAACUUGAAUAUAGACAAGCAGUAAUUUCAUCUUCUAUUUUUCCUGUUAACCAAAAGCUAUCUGCAGACCUAGCUACUCUUUGAAUCCAAGUUCGGAUCUCCUCUCAUAGUUUUUACCAAGGUUCUAAAAGACGCUAGGCGCUAGUCGGGUGGCGGGCUGGGGCCUAGCGCAUAGGCGGACUAGGCGGAUUUAAGUAAAUCUAUUAUAUUUUGUGUAAAUAAGUGUCUGUUUAUACUUAAAAUAUAUAUAAUUUUAUCAUAAACUACAAAAUAGAAUGACAUAUAUAUUAUGAAGUAUUGGACAUAAUGAAAACAUGAGGAACAAGUAUAUAAUGUGUGUUCAUUUAAGUAUUCAACAAGUCUUUACAAUUUAUUGAAAAAAUAAAUAAAAUACAAAAUGCAAGUUAUCUAAUUUUUGUCUAAGUGAGUUGCAACCUAGUCGGUGCUUAGGUGGGUCUGGACAGGCUACGCGGGUGCCUUAGC
rnacentral:lncRNA from 1 species